ensembl:lncRNA
UCCAGACCUUGCUACAGAACCUCUUGUGGGACCGUCCACACUCGGUAUUCCUCUUCCACAGUGACCGAGGUGACCACCUGUGUAAGAUGGGAGAGCCCAGGACGUGAGGAGCUGGAGCCCGGAGUCACGGAGAGGACAGCUGCCGAGAAUGGCUGCUGAGCCACCCUGGUUGUAGCUCCACCGUCCUCCACCUGUCGCCUGGUCCAGUCUCACCUGUCUGCAGAUGCACCCGGUUAUGCUGCUGAAUUUCCAUUCCUGGGCCCUCUGCACCGCCUCUGCCCGAACCCAUUGAGCAGAUCAUCCCCAUUCCCCUCCUCUCCUGAUUUGGAACCCCAGGUCUUGCCAACACACACGUUCUUGUGAGAGGC